rnacentral:rRNA from 1 species
GGCCAGCAUCGAUUCGGAUGGUAAGAUAAUAGCAGUUAAAUGUGGCUCUUCGGAGUGUUAUAGUUUCUGUUGAUAUUGCCUNUCUGGAUNGAGGGCUNCGUCUUUUGACUAGGAUGCUGGCGUAAU